UCUGGAACCUUCCUUCAUCAUAGUUCUCUCUGGACCUUUCUUCUCCAUCGUUCGAACCCUAACCCUAACCCUAAUCUUCAUCUUCAACUUCCUCUUCCUCCCAACAUGUCUCACUUUGGAAGGUCAGGUCCUCCAGAUAUUACAGAUACCUACUCCCUUCUCGUGCUCAACAUCACUUUCCGUACCACGGCUGAUGACCUGUACCCGCUUUUCCACAAGUAUGGUAAGGUUGUCGAUAUUUUCAUCCCCAGAGAUCGAAGGACUGGUGAUUCUAGGGGUUUUGCAUUUGUGCGUUACAAGUAUGCAGAUGAGGCGCAAAAAGCAGUGGAGAGGCUAGAUGGCACAGUGGUUGAUGGCCGCGAGAUAACUGUUCAGUUUGCAAAGUAUGGUCCAAAUGCAGAAAGGAUUCACAAAGGAAAGAUCAGUGAGGCUUUUACAAAGCCAAGAUACAGGUCUAGAAGUCGCAGUCCACGGAGACGAUACCGGGAUGAUAACAGAGAUAGGGAUUAUAGGAGGAGAAGUCGAAGCAGAAGUAGAAGCAGAAGCUUGGACAGGAGUGAUCGUGACAGGCGUGGGAGGGAAAGAGAGAGAGAAAGGGACUAUCGGAGGCGAAGCAGGAGCAUCAGUCCCAGGCGGCCUAGUCCUGAUUACUCCAAGGGGAGGGGAAGAGGGCGCUAUGAUGAUGAGCGUAGAAGUCGCAGUCGGAGUUGCAGCCGAAGUCAAAGUCGUGGCCAAAGUCGUUCUGUGGAUAGUGCUUCUCCGGGUAGACGAAGCGCUAGUCCAAGAAGGAGUCUUUCGCCUCAAAGGAGUCCAUCUCCUAGGGGUGAAAGUCCUGUAAGAAAUGGUGAUGGUGGAAGGACUCCAACUCCUAGAAGUGUUUCACCACGUGGUCAACCUGCUGAUUCACGAAGCCCAUCUCCACAGAAUUCAGAUGUUGAUAAGUGAAUACCAACGGAUGCAAGGAGAACUGUGGACAUAACCAAGCAGUGCAGGAAUGAAUGCUUUGAGGACACUCGUUGAUUAAAAAUGUUAUCAGACUAUAAGUUCUAGUUUUGUUAUGUUCGGGGUAAGAGUGACUGGCGCCUGAUUGGCGGAUGUUGAUUUUGUGGCUGUUGAUGCUGUUUCUAUGUGAUAGAUGGGUGAUCGUGACUUUGAUGCUGGUUGCAGCAGUUUGCUGAUUUAUCAGUAUGAUUGUCUAUGCAGUAUGAUGUUGCUGUGGACAGUGUCUUAACUAAUGUUCACUGGAUAAAAUUAUUGGUAAGGUUUAUGGUCACGUUUAAGUGUUUUUAAAAACUUGAUAAUGCUUUAGGAUUUGAUGAUUGACCUGAUUAUCCAUUCUGGUUUAUAUACAACUACCCUCACCUGCUAGGAGAACUAGAAGCUUUGUUGAUAUAUAGGUAGUAGGUUUGACCCACCUGUGUUGAUCAGUUAUUUUCUCAUAGCUGAUGUUGCAUUUGAGGGAUAUUGUUUUUUUAAUGGCGAAGGCUGGUUUAGGGAAACUUGGCUCUGCUGCAGGUUUGAACCAUUGCACGAGAACAUGAUUAGUCAUGGUAACUCAAGUUUACAGUCUUUUGUGUAUUAUUUGAAGGGGGUGGAUUUGAACUUACAGGUUAUUAUCCAUAACUUUUAGAUCAAUCUUGCUGCUUGAUGUGGUGACUGACUUAUUCUAGCUUUCGGACACCUGGUUGUAGCUGUGGUGUGGUGUUUGAUAGCAGAUAUGUUUAUUGAUGUACGUUAAGACAUGGGUUCGAUUGAUUGAUUCUGAAGUGCUAACAAGUAGCACUGUAGCUGUAGCUGGCUGUUGCUGCCAUUGUUGUUGGGUGAGGCUGGCAAUGAUGUUUGCAGUUGCUUUGACAUGACAUUGGAUGCAUUGAUGUUUGCUUGCCUCAAUGUUACGUCGUGCGUGUAAAUUAGUGCAAUAAUAUCAAUAUAUGUUCUGUUUACAUCAUUUUUGUAAGAAAAUUUAUUUAACAAGAAUUAUAAUAUUGAUUUGCAACAUUUGGCACUGUUUUGCUUGUUUUUUUUAAAGUAGGUUAGAUGAAGUUGGAUUCAAUUACUAAAUUUUGGAUCCGUAGGUAUUUGAUGAUGAUUUAAAUGUCCCAAUUGGUAGGAA